GGAGAGGUGUCCGAGUGGCUGAAGGAGCACGCUUGGAAAGCGUGUAGGCGUUGCAAAACGUCUCGAGGGUUCGAAUCCCUCUCUCUCCGCCA
rnacentral:tRNA from 1 species